AAAAAAAGGACAGAAAGCACGCGCGCAUUCCUUUUGUGUUGACGGCCAUUUUGUACGUGCUUCGGCAACAAGAGCUCCUAGCGUCUGGUCUGUGAGAAAGGUGGAAAAAUGGGGGAAGCUUCGGAAGUGAGCAGCAUGUCCGAGGUGUCAACGGCAG